UCGGAAGAGGUAUUCAUUGGAAAAAUUGGGAGGAUCUGAAAAUCAGAAAGGACCACGGAGGUUUGGGUUUUAAGGAUUUAGUGGAUUUCAAUAAAGCAAUGUUGGGAAAGCAGGCAUGGAGGAUGGCCAAACAACCUGAUGCUUUAUGGUGCCAGGUUCUUAAAAGCAUUUAUUUUCCUCAAAGAGAUUUCUGGACAGCAAGCAAAGGCUCCCGUCCUUCCUGGGGUUGGCAGAGCUUAUUAAUGGGAAGAGAGGCCAUUGAAAACGCCACUAAAUGGAGAGUAGGAAAUGGAGAAAAAAUUCGUAUCAGAGAAGAUUUAUGGCUCCCCUCUGGAAGACCUAUUGGCCCAGCAAACCAAAAUGAGCCCAAGAGUUGUGGCUGAACUAAUUAACAGCGAAGCCAAUGAAUGGGAUAUCAGCAGAAUUAAUGAACUGUAUGACGAAAGAGUAGCUCAAGAGAUUCUAGCUAAUCCGCUCAGCCUAAGUCCCCAAGAUGACCAGCUAGUGUGGACAGCAAAUACCUCUGGAUCCUAUACAGUUAAAAGUGGCUACAAUCAAAUACAUAACAGAGCAGCAUGUCCCACCAAAUCAACUCCAUCCUCCUCCUACCAAGCCCCAAAAGCCUUAUGGAAAGAGAGAUGGAAACUCCCCACCUACCCAAAAAUUCGCUUCCUACUAUGGAAUAUAUGCAGCAACGCUAUUUCAACAAAGGAAAACCUGUAUAGAAGACACAUCAUACCUGACCCAACGGUAUGAUCCCAACUUGUCCAAUUUGUGGCGAAGCACCAGAAACAACAGAGCACCUUUUUAUCCUAUGUAACUGGACAAAACCCAUACGGUCAGGCCCUGAGAUUCAAACAGACACAUCUCCAGCAAGUAUAACCCGGAUUGACAAAUGGAUUUUAGAAAACCUUACCACAAGAACAACACCCGAAACGAAAGCCCUAUUCGCAGGUCUGUUGUGGAAGAUCUGGAAAACCAGAAACUCGGUGGUCUUCAAAGGAUGUGUACCGGAUCCGAAAACCAUCAAAGAAGAUGCAGAAAUCGAAGCUGCCCUGUACAUAAAACAGUCAGCAAAGGGUUUUAACAAAAGCGGAGAAGCAAGUCAGAACCCUACAAGAACGCCGAUUUGGAACCCACCUGCUCGAAGUACGCUGAAUAUAAACGUGGAUAGUUCAUGGAGCGAGUCGUUGAGAGCAGGAUCGGUAGCCGGAGUGUGCAGGAACGCCAAUGGGACUCUCAUUGCUGGGUUCACAAAAUCAGUUCACGCAACAUCAGCUUGGGUAGCCGAAACCCUAGCCGUGCGUGAAGCCCUCUUAUGAGUAAAGUAUAAAAGGGAAGAAAAAACAGAAGCGGAACGCACGAAUGUAACCGAUUUGGGAGUUUACUCGGAAUCUGAUCUGGAAGUCAACAUAUCCACAGAUCACUUACCGUUGUUUUGCUGCUUAUCAGCCUUUAAGACAAGACCCUCCCUGGUCAACCCAGCCCAUAGUGGAUGACUGCAAAGGCCUUAUGACUCAACUAAAUCAAGUUUCGAUUGUUUAUGGGCCCCGAGAAACAAACGGAGCUGUUGAUUGGGUCGCUCGAGCCCACCAAGCGAACUAUCUUCCGAGUAAUUGGUUAGAUUAUCCCCCUCAAUCGUUAUUUUCAAUAUUAUGUUUAGAUGUAAAAAUUGGAACUAUCCCUUUAAUGGGCUAGUAAUGAAUAAUCGAUACAUAUUUCGACCAAAAAAAAAAAAAAAGGAAAUGUGAGCUCCACUAUUGAAAUCAAAUAUAUUUUAAUUUAAUUUAAUUCCGGUGGAGCCAGUCCUUUUCGGCCUUUUCUUUCGUCCUUAUCCUCUUUUCCUGUCCACCACCUACCACUGUCUUUUCUUGUCGACAUGACCUGACGUCUCUCUCUCUCUCCCUUCGUCCCCUUUCACCACUCACGCGCCAUAAGCGCUGUAGAUUUGAUAAUGAAUAUUUAACUAACCCAAAUGUUGAUAAUUUUAAAGAAAGAAGCGACGAUUUUUGGAUGCAAGGUAGAUUUAGGAUUAUAAUGAAAGUUUGUGACUUUUUUCUUGAGAAAAAGAAAAUUUCAAAAGAUAACUGACAUUGAAUCUAAAUUGUGUGUAUUUCAUAAAAUUAAGUAUUUUUUUUUAGGAUCAAGGGAGGUCUAUGAACUCGAACUGUGGGAUUGAAGAAGACCACUGGUCGGCGAGUACUCCCCGCUUUAGUGGUAGUUGGAGCGGGGAAGACGUGGUUUGGCUUUAAAAUUUUUCCGUCCUUGCUGUAUAUUUUAUUCCCUCUUCUUCUUUUUUUUUUCGGGUAACGUUGCUUAUAUCAGAUUAUGGCCCAAAGGUUGAAAGCGAGUUUGCUUUAUCAAAGGAGGUCGGAAUAGCUUGCAAAAUCCAACCACUUCACCUACUUGUAAUAAGAUUGAAAGUGAGUUUAAUUGCCCCCAGCCUGUUCUCGCAUCUCUAUCAAAACAGAACGGUUUCAUGUUCUCUGCUCGUAUCCCCUUUUCCAAUUUCUAUCUUGAUUAGUUGACAACAUUAAAUGGUCGAUUCUUCUCUGGACCCUUGAUUCGAUUGUUUGGCAAGAAUGUUGGGCCAGCUAUAAAACCAUCCAUCUGGGAGGAACUUAAGAUGAGGGAGUUCUUUCAAUGUUUUGCACCUCGUUUUGGUCGCAAUUAGAAUAUAUUGAUUCAAAAGGGAGUACAUAAUCAUUGUGCAUAUAUACAUCAACCUUUGUAUUUCUUAUUUAAUCAUAUUGUUAUUAUUGUCUUCAUAUGAUGAUAACAUUCAAGACGCUGAAUUAGGCACUUAUUUCAAGCCAUAGUUUCCAGACGAGAAAAUCUUGACGUGUGUUGAAUGUCCAUCACUGAUAGUUUUGGUGAUUGGCUGGCGAUUGUUUUUUAAUGUUGUGAUAAAUCUGGUCUUUUGAGAUAAGAGCAUGUUUAUAGUCGCAAGCUGUGCUCUUUUGUUUUCUAAGUCUUGUUUUGUUUUAUAGCUCUUUUGGGAUUUGCUCUCUUUGAAGUUUUCUAUAUUCCUCUCAUGUUUGAUUAUGGUAAUUGAGUAAAAAUUUGUUCCGACGAAAAAAAAAUUACUUUGUAUUUAUAUGAAUUUCCGUGAAUCAUAAUGCGACAUGUUAGGUUAUUUUCAGUACUUAAGUCUUUUGAUUCUGUGAUUUCAUCGUAAAUUUCAUGUAAAUGGAAUGUAGAGCAACUUAACCAUGAAACAACCAAAUAUUCAUGUUAUAACUAUAUAGCCUUUAUUCAUUGAUUAUAUUGAAUGGUUCUAUAUUACAUUGAAUGAAAUUGCUCGAACAAAUUAAGCUAUUAAAUUAUUGAUGUUUACCGACUAAACAACCUUUAUGUUCAGCUUUUGUUAAUUGAAUUCAUGAUAAGAAAUUCCUAUAUACAGUGAGUUAAAUUACUUGCAUCAAACCAGUUAAAAUUCAAGAGUUUCUCAAAUAUUUAGUCUUUGCUGAUUUGUUGUAAACUAGUUUAUUUUAAUUUUAUCUUACUUAGAAAAAUUCUUGUAGGAUUCUUGUAGGAAAAAUUCUUAAUUUAUAUUAAGAGAAAUUUAAUAGAAAAAAUAUAUAUAGACACGAACAGAUGCAUACGUUCACACCAUCUUCUAAAUUAUGUUUUUGGGUUUUUCAGCUAUUCAUUUCAUUGUGAGUUUAUGUUAAGCAAAUUUGGCAUUAGCAAGAAAGGCUACAUAAACUGUAAUUAUGUAUCUUUUAUAUGACGCACAUCUUAUUUUAUCCUUUCAUUACUCAAUUUACUCAGUUCUUUUUUUAUAAUGUAAAAUGUUUUGUACGGUGUAGCUUAUACACUUAAACGUAAUAAGCUAUAAUUUAGUUUUACUCAAUUUAAAAUGACAAUUCAUUAAAAGUCAUUGCAUAUAAUGUUGACUUGUUUUCGUAACUUUACAUCGUGAUUGAGAAUCUUUUGGAAAAUUAUUGUAAGACUUUCAAUAAGUUUUUUUUUUUUUGGUCGAACUCCUCUCUUCUGUGUACAUCUAGUACUUUCAUUAACUAGAGCAAAGUUUGUGGACAUCUAAAUAUAUAAUAUCCGCCAGAAUUUAAGAAGAUGAUAGGGUGCUAUAGGCUAAGAAUAAGUCUAGGAUCAACUCAGUUAUAAGUGCAAGUAACAGGCUUCACUCAAAGUAUCGGCAGUACCAAAUAGACCAAGUCUCAUUAUCCUAUCAGACACAGAACAUUGUGGACGAAAUUCUAGAAAUUGAACACCCUCCCCAAAAUUUGUAUCUUUUUGUGGAGAGUAUGCGAAAACGCUAUUCCCACGAGAGAGAAUCUCUUCAAGAGGAAAAUUGUAGCUGACCCUAUGUGCCCUCUAUGUCACCAAGCUCUAGAAACAACAAAGCACAUCUUCCACCUUUGUCAUUGCCCAUUGGACAGCAGCCAUACGGUAGGAUUCAAGACUAUACAAUCAUAUUUCAAACUGGAACAUUAUCAAAAAGGAUAAAUGGAUCGUGCGACGUAUUGAAUCAAGCACAUACCUACCUUCAAAUGAGGAACUCGCGGGGGUACUGUGGUUUAUCUGGAAAGCACGAAAUGCCCUCCAGUCCCACCGACGGGAAUCAAAGCUUAGUUAUUGGCAACGCGUUCGCAAUGAACCCAAAUUUCUUGAGAUGGAAGGAAGCAAGCUGACCAAAGCCCCAGCGACGUGAGGGCCUGGAUUGAAGAUUGCAAGAGGAAGCUGGCCCAUCUUAAAUUUGUUCGCUUAGCCCAAUGUCCGAUAGAGGCAAAUCAGUUUAGCACUUCUUUCUACUUGGAUGUCUACUUUGAGAAUGUUCAGUAGAAGAUUAACCAAACCCAUUUGGAUGGCAAAUUAGGAAAUCCACAAAAAUAUCGCUGGGGGCGAGAAGUAAUCCUCUCGAAAAGCUAGUUCCUAACUAACCUUGUCAACAAAGGAAAUAAUUUAAUCAAAUAAAAAAGCGUUGCUUGAAGACUUUGACAAAUUCCAAAAAGAUAUGUUCCAUCCACUAGCUCGUGGCCUCAAUUUUUAGAUACCUUGACAAGCAUAAAAACUCUAUGACUUCUAAAUGGUAGAAAACCAUGUUUUUGAUAGUCGAGGAAUGAAAUUGUGGGUGUGAAUCACAUGCAAAAUACUUAUUCGAUUAUUUACGCAAAUUAAAUUGAACAAAUAAUUAUAUCAUUUAAUUGGAUUUUGAAUUCUACAUUAUAUAUAAUCCGUGAGGUUAGCUGGGCUAUGUAAUAAAGAUUUAAUUGACGGAAACCUGAUUUCAUGUGAUUUAUGAAAACAAUUCGUUGGGAUCCACUAUUGAAACAAUAGUAUUUAUCCACUCAAUUACAAAAAAAUCACUGACUACCUCUUAUAGGUGGAACUUUUGUACUUCCAGCAAAAAUUUGAAUUUUCUUUUUAUUUUCUAGCUUUAUUAGAAUGUGUGUCAAUUUAGGCUGUAUUUAAUAAUGCUCUCGGAAAUAUGUAUUUUUGUUCUUUUUUUCUGAUAAUAAAAAUAGAACAGAAACGCAUUUAAUAAUUUUUUUUAUUUUUAUGAACAAAUUUAUUUAUGGAACAUAUUUGGAACAAAAAUAAAAAAAUAAAUAAGAGUUGCUAUCUUGCUUUGGGAAUACCUCAAGAAAUAAAAAAUCAAGAAUAAAGUUUUUUUUUCCUUUCAUUUUAUUCCUUUUUCCUUUCACUUCAUCCCUUGUUCCCCUAGCCAAUCCUUGACCUCGGUGCCGAACGACAACCGAUUAGAUGAGGCCCGACAACCUCAUCGAGGCUGGCGCCUCAAACUCGCCAGCCACUAGUGAGGCCCCCUUAAGCCUUGUCGUGCUUGACCUCACCCAGCCAAGGCAAGGUCUAGUCUCACCCUGUCACAGCAAGGUUCAGGGUGACCUCGUUGAUGGCCGGCUAGGCUCCCCCCAAGCUAGCGACCUCGCCGACCCUUGUUUAGCACGUUACCGAUUGAUGACCAACUAGAGGAAGGAGAGGAAAAAGAAAAAGAAAAAAUGUAAUAAAUUAAAAUAAAUUUUAAGUUAUAAAAAUAUAUAGAGUUGUACCAAACGCAUUUCUCUCCCAAAAAUAUAAAUUUUAUGUAGUUAUAUAAUGUAUUCAAAUGCUCAAAAAUUAUUUUUGAAAACGGAAAUCGAAAAAAAUAUUUUUGAAAAAUAAUUAUUUUUAAAAUAAAAAUGUUAUCAAAUGUAUAUUUAGGUAGCGCAUGCAAACGCUUCUGUUUCGGGGAAGAGUUUUUUUUUCAGAAAUGGUUCUUUUCUAUUUCUGCUCCGGGGAACAAUUUCUGAGUAAAAGAACCCGUUUGAUAAUGGUACAAAAUUUCUACUCUUAGAAUAGAAAAAGAAUAGAAAUGCAUUUGAUAACGCAACAAUUUCUUUUUUAUAUUUAUUCAUUUUUUAAUCUUGCCGACGGAUUGCCGCCGCCUCCUGCCGCCGGUCGCCGUCGUCGGCCGAUGGGCUUCCGGCGAUGACGGUCGGCGGCCUGUGGUCGUGUGGCAGCGGCGGCUGGCGGGCCGGCGACGGUGAUCGGCGGACGGAGGCGGCAGCAACGGCGACCGGAGACGGCUGCCGGCGGCCGGCGAACGGCGACGGCGGCGAUCGGCGACCGACGGCGGCGACCGGCGACCAACGGCGGCGACCGGCGACCAACGGCAGCGACCGGCAGUCGGCGGCGGAGGCGGCGACCGGCAACCGGCGGCGGAGGCGGCGACCGGCGACUGGCGGCGACCGGCGACCGGCAACCGGCGGCGGCGGCAGCGGUGGGCGGUGGCUCCGGCCGGAUGACAAUGGUUGCGGCAAGAAAAGGAAAUAAAAGAAAAUUAAAAAAGAAAAUCAGCUUAUUUCUAGAAGUUGUUCUCGGGAACAAGAAGCAACUUUUUUUUGCUUCUUGUUUAUGUUCCCAAACCAUUCCCGAGCUAAGUUUUUAUUCCCGGGAACAAAAAAACAA
rnacentral:lncRNA from 1 species